rnacentral:rRNA from 1 species
UACGUAGGGUCCGAGCGUUGUCCGGAAUUAUUGGGCGUAAAGGGCUCGUAGGCGGUUUGUCGCGUCGGGAGUGAAAACACCGGGCUUAACUCGGUGCUUGCUUCCGAUACGGGCAGACUAGAGGCAUGCAGGGGAGAACGGAAUUCCUGGUGUAGCGGUGAAAUGCGCAGAUAUCAGGAGGAACACCGGUGGCGAAGGCGGUUCUCUGGGCAUGUCCUGACGCUGAGGAGCGAAAGUGUGGGGGAGCGAACAGGG